rnacentral:misc_RNA from 1 species
GCCAAAACAGGAUCAACUUCGGAGAGUGAAAGGAGACUGAGGAGAGACUGGAUGUGAGACUUUUCAGGCGAGCAGAGACCAGUUCUCCUGGUUUUCCAGAGCGUAGUGAGUAUAUGGUCGAGCGCUUCCUCUGACUUUAUCGCCGAUAGCUUGUGCAGUUGUAAGUAAAGCGAGUCUUCCUCCAUUUUUCUUCGUCUUUC